AACAUGUUCUUAUGGGCUUCCAGCUUUUGCCACCACAAAUACGAACUGCAGAGCACCAGUCACCGAAAUAAUUUCCUCUCGGUGCCAUAGAAAAAAGAAAUGUGUUCUUUUUGCAUCAAACAUUCAUUUCUCUGAUCCUUGUGUUGGAACUUAUAAAUACCUGGAUGUGACUUAUCAAUGUCAGUGAAGUGUGUUGUGAAGACUUCUUGUCAACUAAGUGAUUCAAACCCUGAUCCAUGUCAGCUGUCAAUAUCUGGAAGUGACUUACAGCUGUAAAUAAUAUUAUUUGUCCAGCCGUAUUUUAUGUUUUGUGUGUUAUAAAUGAAAAUGUUCGCUAUUAUAGAUGUUAGAUGCUGGUAUAAUAUUGUUUUUGGUCUAUCCAUUCACUCCUCAGCGAAACAAUACAUUGAAAUAUGGGGUUCAGAAUAAAAUUAAAAUUUCAUACUUCCAUAUUUAUUUUGGAAAGCUUUAAUAAUCAUGUAUCAACAAAUGUGAAUAAUGGGAAACAUCCUAAUCCUAAAAUGCUUUAUUUUUGUAAAUGCAUGUCAUGACUUUCUUUUGAUUUUGAGGGGAUUUUCUCUCAUAAAAUGUUAGACACUAUUAUAUCUAUGUAAAUGUAUGAUAUAUUAAUGGAAAAC